ensembl:lncRNA
CACUCCUCAUCACACACACACACACACACACACACACAUACUGCACUGAAUUCAGGUGUAAUCCGACUGAAAUGGAAAUUGCGCUCCUUGAAAACGGAUGAUGAGAGGAAGAUGGCAGGGCCGGCGUCGUGCUCCAUCAGAGAGGGUCAUGGGGGGCCUGGAGCCUAUCCCAGGGGCACAAGACAGGGGACACCAUGGACAGAGUGCCAACCCAUUGUAGGGCACAAUCACACACACAGUACAGACAAUUUAGAAAUGUCAAUCAGCCUACAACAUAUGACUCUGCUGGGUGGAAACCAGGAAGCAUGGGGAGAACGUACAAACUACAAACGGAGGCAGGAAUCGCACUCCCAACCCUGGAGGUGCGAGGCAGACGUGCUAACCACUAAGCCACCGAGGAACUACUACUGCCCCAAAUUUCAUUUUAGAGUGUAUAGACCUCUAAAUGAAAAAGACCUGUUCUUUCUCACUGAUACAAGUAGCAGGAUCAGCUCUGUUUGGACCUCUAGAGCAAGGUCAUCCCACUGCUCUCUGCUCCACUUACAAGUGCCCCCUUUUCAUAG